rnacentral:rRNA from 2 species
GGAACAGAGAGAGCGGCGUACGGGUGCGUAACACGUGUGCAACCUGCCUUUAUCUGGGGGAUAGCCUUUCGAAAGGAAGAUUAAUACCCCAUAAUAUAAUGAACGGCAUCGUUUAUUAUUGAAAACUCCGGUGGAUAGAGAUGGGCACGCGCAAGAUUAGUUAGUUGGUGAGGUAACGGCUCACCAAGACGAUGAUCUUUAGGGGGCCUGAGAGGGUGAUCCCCCACACUGGUACUGAGACACGGACCAGACUCCUACGGGAGGCAGCAGUGAGGAAUAUUGGACAAUGGGUGAGAGCCUGAUCCAGCCAUCCCGCGUGAAGGACUAAGGCCCUAUGGGUUGUAAACUUCUUUUAUACUGGGAUAAACCUACUUACGUGUAAGUAGCUGAAGGUACAGUAUGAAUAAGCACCGGCUAACUCCGUGCCAGCAGCCGCGGUAAUACGGAGGGUGCAAGCGUUAUCCGGAUUUAUUGGGUUUAAAGGGUCCGUAGGCGGAUCCGUAAGUCAGUGGUGAAAUCUCAUAGCUUAACUAUGAAACUGCCAUUGAUACUGCGGGUCUUGAGUGAGAUUGAGGUAGCUGGAAUAAGUAGUGUAGCGGUGAAAUGCAUAGAUAUUACUUAGAACACCAAUUGCGAAGG